GGGCGGGCGUGCUAUACAUGCAAGUCGAACGAACUCUGGUAUUGAUUGGUGCUUGCAUCAUGAUUUACAUUUGAGUGAGUGGCGAACUGGUGAGUAACACGUGGGAAACCUGCCCAGAAGCGGGGGAUAACACCUGGAAACAGAUGCUAAUACCGCAUAACAACUUGGACCGCAUGGUCCGAGCUUGAAAGAUGGCUUCGGCUAUCACUUUUGGAUGGUCCCGCGGCGUAUUAGCUAGAUGGUGGGGUAACGGCUCACCAUGGCAAUGAUACGUAGCCGACCUGAGAGGGUAAUCGGCCACAUUGGGACUGAGACACGGCCCAAACUCCUACGGGAGGCAGCAGUAGGGAAUCUUCCACAAUGGACGAAAGUCUGAUGGAGCAACGCCGCGUGAGUGAAGAAGGGUUUCGGCUCGUAAAACUCUGUUGUUAAAGAAGAACAUAUCUGAGAGUAACUGUUCAGGUAUUGACGGUAUUUAACCAGAAAGCCACGGCUAACUACGUGCCAGCAGCCGCGGUAAUACGUAGGUGGCAAGCGUUGUCCGGAUUUAUUGGGCGUAAAGCGAGCGCAGGCGGUUUUUUAAGUCUGAUGUGAAAGCCUUCGGCUCAACCGAAGAAGUGCAUCGGAAACUGGGAAACUUGAGUGCAGAAGAGGACAGUGGAACUCCAUGUGUAGCGGUGAAAUGCGUAGAUAUAUGGAAGAACACCAGUGGCGAAGGCGGCUGUCUGGUCUGUAACUGACGCUGAGGCUCGAAAGUAUGGGUAGCAAACAGGAUUAGAUACCCUGGUAGUCCAUACCGUAAACGAUGAAUGCUAAGUGUUGGAGGGUUUCCGCCCUUCAGUGCUGCAGCUAACGCAUUAAGCAUUCCGCCUGGGGAGUACGGCCGCAAGGCUGAAACUCAAAGGAAUUGACGGGGGCCCGCACAAGCGGUGGAGCAUGUGGUUUAAUUCGAAGCUACGCGAAGAACCUUACCAGGUCUUGACAUACUAUGCAAAUCUAAGAGAUUAGACGUUCCCUUCGGGGACAUGGAUACAGGUGGUGCAUGGUUGUCGUCAGCUCGUGUCGUGAGAUGUUGGGUUAAGUCCCGCAACGAGCGCAACCCUUAUUAUCAGUUGCCAGCAUUAAGUUGGGCACUCUGGUGAGACUGCCGGUGACAAACCGGAGGAAGGUGGGGAUGACGUCAAAUCAUCAUGCCCCUUAUGACCUGGGCUACACACGUGCUACAAUGGAUGGUACAACGAGUUGCGAACUCGCGAGAGUAAGCUAAUCUCUUAAAGCCAUUCUCAGUUCGGAUUGUAGGCUGCAACUCGCCUACAUGAAGUCGGAAUCGCUAGUAAUCGCGGAUCAGCAUGCCGCGGUGAAUACGUUCCCGGGCCUUGUACACACCGCCCGUCACACCAUGAGAGUUUGUAACACCCAAAGUCGGUGGGGUAACCUUUUAGGAACCAGCCGCCUAAGGUGGGACAGAUGAUUAGGGUGAAGUCGUAACAAGAGCCUGC
rnacentral:rRNA from 1 species